rnacentral:rRNA from 1 species
CCAUAUGGGAGGCAGCAGUGGGGAAUAUUGGGCAAUGGGCGAAAGCCUGACCCAGCAACGCCGCCUGAGGGAAGAAGGUUUUCGGAUUGUAAACCUCUGUCGCAGAUGACGAAAAAAAUGACGGUAGUCUGUGAGGAAGCCCCGGCCAAAUACGUGCCCGCAGCCGCGGUAAUAUGUAGGGGGCGAGCGUUGUCUGGAAUUACUGGGCGUAAAGGGUGGGUUGGCGGUUCUUUAAGUUGGAUGUGAAAUACCCGGGCUUAACCCGGGGGGUGCAUUCAAGACUGGGGAACUAGAGUUCGGGAGAGGGAAGCGGAAUUCCUAGUGUAGCGGUGAAAUGCGUAGAUAUUUGGAGGAACACCAGUGGCGAAGGCGGCUUUCUGGACUGACACUGACGCUGAGGCACGAAA